rnacentral:rRNA from 1 species
CGCAAUGCGCAGCUAUACAUGCAAGUCGAGCGGACAGAAGGGAGCUUGCUCCCGGAUGUUAGCGGCGGACGGGUGAGUAACACGUGGGUAACCUGCCUGUAAGACUGGGAUAACUCCGGGAAACCGGAGCUAAUACCGGAUAGUUCCUUGAACCGCAUGGUUCAAGGAUGAAAGACGGUUUCGGCUGUCACUUACAGAUGGACCCGCGGCGCAUUAGCUAGUUGGUGAGGUAACGGCUCACCAAGGCGACGAUGCGUAGCCGACCUGAGAGGGUGAUCGGCCACACUGGGACUGAGACACGGCCCAGACUCCUACGGGAGGCAGCAGUAGGGAAUCUUCCGCAAUGGACGAAAGUCUGACGGAGCAACGCCGCGUGAGUGAUGAAGGUUUUCGGAUCGUAAAGCUCUGUUGUUAGGGAAGAACAAGUGCAAGAGUAACUGCUUGCACCUUGACGGUACCUAACCAGAAAGCCACGGCUAACUACGUGCCAGCAGCCGCGGUAAUACGUAGGUGGCAAGCGUUGUCCGGAAUUAUUGGGCGUAAAGGGCUCGCAGGCGGUUUCUUAAGUCUGAUGUGAAAGCCCCCGGCUCAACCGGGGAGGGUCAUUGGAAACUGGGAAACUUGAGUGCAGAAGAGGAGAGUGGAAUUCCACGUGUAGCGGUGAAAUGCGUAGAGAUGUGGAGGAACACCAGUGGCGAAGGCGACUCUCUGGUCUGUAACUGACGCUGAGGAGCGAAAGCGUGGGGAGCGAACAGGAUUAGAUACCCUGGUAGUCCACGCCGUAAACGAUGAGUGCUAAGUGUUAGGGGUUUCCGCCCCUUAGUGCUGCAGCUAACGCAUUAAGCACUCCGCCUGGGGAGUACGUCGCAGACUGAAACUCAAAGGAAUUGACGGGGCCCGCACAAGCGUGGAGCAUGUGGUUUAUUCGAAGCACGCGAGACCUUACCAGUCUUGACAUCCUCUGACACCCUAGAGAUAGGGCUUUCCCUUCGGGAC